rnacentral:lncRNA from 1 species
CUUUCCUACAGGCUCUGAGAAGGCCACCACAGUCAUUUCUUCCCUUCUCACAGACUUCAGAGUUUAUUACAAACAGUGGGCUGGGUCUUGCACUAAAGACAGAACAUCUCUUAUUAAAGCAUGGUAUAUCAUUUUCUCUUCAGACCAUGAGGACUGAACCGAGCCCAAUUACAAAACGGUAUCCCUGAAAGCAAAAUGCCAGUGAGU